rnacentral:rRNA from 1 species
GAACGCUGGCGGCAGGCUUAACACAUGCAAGUCGAGCGGAAACGAAGGUAGCUUGCUACCAGACGUCGAGCGGCGGACGGGUGAGUAAUGCUUAGGAAUCUACCGAGUAGUGGGGGAUAGCCAUUGGAAACGAUGAUUAAUACCGCAUAUAUCCUACGGGGGAAAGCAGGGGACCUUCGGGCCUUGCGCUAUUCGAUGAGCCUGAGUGAGAUUAGCUAGUUGGUGGGGUAAAGGCCUACCAAGGCGACGAUCUCUAGCUGGUCUGAGAGGAUGAUCAGCCACACUGGGACUGAGACACGGCCCAGACUCCUACGGGAGGCAGCAGUGGGGAAUAUUGCACAAUGGACGAAAGUCUGAUGCAGCCAUGCCGCGUGUGUGAAGAAGGCCUUCGGGUUGUAAAGCACUUUCAGCGAGGAGGAAAGGUCAGUAAGUAAUAUUUGCUGGCUGUGACGUUACUCGCAGAAGAAGCACCGGCUAAUUUAGUGCCAGCAGCCGCGGUAAUACUAAAGGUGCAAGCGUUAAUCGGAAUUACUGGGCGUAAAGCGCGCGUAGGUGGUUUGUUAAGUUGGAUGUGAAAGCCCAGGGCUCAACCUUGGAACUGCAUUCAAAACUGACUCACUAGAGUACGAGAGAGGUUAGUGGAAUUUCCUGUGUAGCGGUGAAAUGCGUAGAGAUGGGAAGGACACCAGUGG